UGCAUCUGUGCGUUGAUGGC
rnacentral:piRNA from 1 species